rnacentral:ncRNA from 2 species
UGCGAUGCGCGUGGUGAUUUGAUGCCGGAUUGCGGACCACGUUAAACAUUCCGCUAAAAGGGUGAGGGGUUUGCCCCG